rnacentral:rRNA from 1 species
GUGGGGAAUAUUGGACAAUGGGCGAAAGCCUGAUCCAGCCAUGCCGCGUGUGUGAAGAAGGUCUUCGGAUUGUAAAGCACUUUAAGUUGGGAGGAAGGGCAGUAAGUUAAUACCUUGCUGUUUUGACGUUACCGACAGAAUAAGCACCGGCUAACUUCGUGCCAGCAGCCGCGGUAAUACGAAGGGUGCAAGCGUUAAUCGGAAUUACUGGGCGUAAAGCGCGCGUAGGUGGUGUUGUAAGGUGGAGGUGAAAUCCACGGGAUCAACCUGGGAACUGCCUCCAAAACUGCAUGACUAGAGUACGGUAGAGGGUAGUGGAAUUUCCUGUGUAGCGGUGAAAUGCGUAGAUAUAGGAAGGAACACCAGUGGCGAAGGCGACUACCUGGACUGAUACUGACACUGAGGUGCGAAAGCGUGGGGAGCAAACAGGAUUAGAAACCCUGGUAGUCC